UACGUAGGGCGCAAGCGUUAUCCGGAAUUAUUGGGCGUAAAGAGCUCGUAGGCGGUUUGUCGCGUCUGCCGUGAAAGUCCGGGGCUUAACCCCGGAUCUGCGGUGGGUACGGGCAGACUUGAGUGAUGUAGGGGAGACUGGAAUUCCUGGUGUAGCGGUGAAAUGCGCAGAUAUCAGGAGGAACACCGAUGGCGAAGGCAGGUCUCUGGGCUGUAACUGACGCUGAGGAGCGAAAGCAUGGGGAGCGAACAGG
rnacentral:rRNA from 1 species